rnacentral:rRNA from 1 species
AUUGAACGCUGGCGGCAGGCCUAACACAUGCAAGUCGAGCGGAUGAAGGGAGCUUGCUCCUGGAUUCAGCGGCGGACGGGUGAGUAAUGCCUAGGAAUCUGCCUGGUAGUGGGGGAUAACGUCCGGAAACGGGCGCUAAUACCGCAUACGUCCUGAGGGAGAAAGUGGGGGAUCUUCGGACCUCACGCUAUCAGAUGAGCCUAGGUCGGAUUAGCUAGUUGGUGGGGUAAAGGCCUACCAAGGCGACGAUCCGUAACUGGUCUGAGAGGAUGAUCAGUCAGACUGAGAAUGAGACAGGGGCCCGACGCCCUGGGGGGGGCGCAAGGGGGAAAUUUGGACCAUUGGCGGAAACCUUGACCCAACCGGGCGGGGGGUGAAAAAAAGUUUUGGGGUGUUAAAAGCCUUUUAAGUUGGGGGAAAGGGCAUUAAUUUAAAACCUUGCUUUUUUGACGUUACCAACAAAAAAAGCACGGGCUAACUUCGUG